rnacentral:rRNA from 1 species
UACGUAGGUGGCGAACGUUGUCCGGAUUCACUGGGCGUAAAGCGCGCGCAGGCGGACUGUUAAGUCUGAGGUAAAAGCUCCCGGCUCAACUGGGAGAAGCCCUUGGAUACUGACAGUCUUGAGACAUCUAGAGGAGAGUGGAAUUCCCGGUGUAGUGGUGGAAUGCGUAGAUAUCGGGAGGAACACCAGUGGCGAAAGCGGCUCUCUGGGGAUGUUCUGACGCUGAGGCGCGAAAGCGUGGGGAGCGAAC